rnacentral:RNase_P_RNA from 1 species
AAUUUUAGGUAAUCGCGGCUAGAAAUAGUUGAGGAAAGUCCAUGCUCGCACGCGCUGAGAUGCGUGUAGUGUUCGUGCUUAGCGAAACAAUAAGCUAAGGCAACGUGAAUCGUUGACGGCAGGAAAAAUGACUACGGCUUUGCUAUGUCAAAGUAUUCUUGAAAGUGCCACAGUGACGAAGCAAUAUUGGAAACGGUAUUGGUGGAACGCGGUAAACCCCUCGAGCGAGCAACCCAAACUUUGGUAGGGGCACUUUUUCUAGUAGGAAAUGAACGAACGAAAGAGGCAGUAAUUGCAGAUAGAUGAUUACCCAAUGGCGCGAGUGCCUAUAUCGCGUCAUUUGACAAAACAUGGCUUAUCGAA